UGAACUCAUCCCUGUACAUAUAAAGAGAGGCAUAUCUGGCAAUUAGUAGAGCCCAGAUAUAACCUAUGAAUCUCAGUGCUCACUUUGUUCUCUGCCCUUUUGUCUUUGACUCUGAAUCAAUGGACAGUUGAUCCAUGGCCUUAUCUCCGGGAGGGACAAAUUCAAAGAUCAGCUGGAGAAGCUCGACAAACGUUCAGUCAAUUACAACCCAGCACAG